AGGGAUAUAGUGUAAUGGUAGCACACCAGAUUUUGGUUCUGUUUGUCUAGGUUCGAAUCCUUGUAUCCCUGCCA
rnacentral:tRNA from 1 species